rnacentral:rRNA from 1 species
GACGAAGGUGGCGAGCGUUACUCGGAAUUACUAGGCGUAAAGCGUGGGCAGGUGGUCUGAUAAGUCUGUUGUGAAAGCUCCUGGCUUAACUGGGAGAGGCCAAUGGAUACUGUCGGACUUGAAUGUGGGAGAGGUGACUGGAAUUCCCGGUGUAGCGGUGAAAUGCGUAGAGAUCGGGAGGAACACCAAUGGCGAAAGCAGGUCACUGGACCACUAUUGACACUCAUCCACGAAAGCUAGGGGAUCAAACAGG